rnacentral:rRNA from 1 species
AUUGAACGCUGGCGGCAGGCCUAACACAUGCAAGUCGAGCGGAGCGGCGGACGGGUGAGUAAUGCCUAGGAAUCUGCCUGGUAGUGGGGGAUAACGUCCGGAAACGGGCGCUAAUACCGCAUACUAUCAGAUGAGCCUAGGUCGGAUUAGCUAGUUGGUGGGGUAACGGCCUACCAAGGCGACGAUCCGUAGCUGGUCUGAGAGGAUGAUCAGUCACACUGGAACUGAGACACGGUCCAGACUCCUACGGGAGGCAGCAGUGGGGAAUAUUGGGCAAUGGGCGAAAGUCUGACCGAGCCAUGCCGCGUGAGUGAAGAAGGUUUUCGGAUCGUAAAACUCUGUAAUUUGAGAGGCGGUAUCAAACGAGAAAGCCCCGGCUAACUUCGUGCCAGCAGCCGCGGUAAUAC